GACGAACGCUGGCGGCGUGCCUAAUACAUGCAAGUGGGACGCAAGGACACACACUGUGCUUGCACACCGUGUUUUCUUGAGUCGCGAACGGGUGAGUAACGCGUAGGUAACCUGCCUAUUAGCGGGGGAUAACUAUUGGAAACGAUAGCUAAUACCGCAUAAUAUUAAUUAUUGCAUGAUAAUUGAUUGAAAGAUGCAAGCGCAUCACUAGUAGAUGGACCUGCGUUGUAUUAGCUAGUUGGUAAGGUAAGGGCUUACCAAGGCGACGAUACAUAGCCGACCUGAGAGGGUGAUCGGCCACACUGGGACUGAGACACGGCCCAGACUCCUACGGGAGGCAGCAGUAGGGAAUCUUCGGCAAUGGACGAAAGUCUGACCGAGCAACGCCGCGUGAGUGAAGAAGGUUUUCGGAUCGUAAAGCUCUGUUGUAAGUCAAGAACGUGUGUGAGAGUGGAAAGUUCACACAGUGACGGUAGCUUACCAGAAAGGGACGGCUAACUACGUG
rnacentral:rRNA from 1 species